UACGUAGGGUGCGAGCGUUGUCCGGAAUUACUGGGCGUAAAGGGCGCGUAGGUGGCGCCGCAAGUCCAUGGUGAAAGCUCGAUGCUCAACAUCGAGUCGGCCACGGAGACUGCGGGGCUCGAGCACUGUAGGGGCAGAGGGAAUUCCUGGUGUAGCGGUGAAAUGCGUAGAGAUCAGGAAGAACAUCGGUGGCGAAGGCGCUCUGCUGGACCAUAACUGACACUCGAGGGACGAAAGCUAGGGGAGCGAAUGGG
rnacentral:rRNA from 1 species